AGCCUGCAGCUGGCCGGACUUUGACAGAGCCAACUGGAUGUUCACUGUGGGGAGCAGGCUCGAGGAGCGGGUGGGCCACGAGACUCCUGCAAGCCGGGGACGCCAGCUGGAUGCAGGUCUGCCUCAUCUGAGGCUGUGAUGUCCCCAGAGGAAGAGCCUGCAGGAGCAGUGCCUUCGUGCAGAUGCCUCACCUGUCUUUGGAUCAAUCUCCGGAGAGAGCCCUGGAGAGGAGGAAGCCACAGGAUCAGAUCACCCACCCUGACUCUGAAAGGGAUCCAGCCCUCCUCCCACCUGGAUGGCUGUUUGAUGCUCGGGUCAACCGUGAGCUGUGCGCUUCCUAGGCGCCCCUGCCGACAAUCGCCUGGCUGUGUUUUCAGCAGGCUGAGCAGAGGAGCGGCAGAGAACAGUCACCAGGCGGGGUCACAGGACCUGCUGGUGGGAGCACACUCCACCUGAACUCCUUCCUGUCCCCUCUGGAGUGGGCUCCUGUGAUGCUGCACAACAGUUUAAAACAUUUCCUUCUUACUGCCGUCACCUGUUCACUUACUGGCUGUUGACGAUGUCGCUAUAUAC